rnacentral:rRNA from 1 species
AGAGUUUGAUCCUGGCUCAGAGCGAACGCUGGCGGCAGGCCUAACACAUGCAAGUCGAGCGGCCGUAGCAAUACGGCAGCGGCAGACGGGAGAGUAACACGUGGGAACGCGCCCUUCGGUUCGGAAUAACUCAGGGAAACUUGGGCUAAUACCGAAUACGCCCUUACGGGGAAAGAUUUAUUGCCGAAGGAACGGCCCGCGUCCGAUUAGCUAGUUGGUGAGGUAACGGCUCACCAAGGCGACGAUCGGUAGCUGGUCUGAGAGGAUGACCAGCCUCACUGGGACUGAGACACGGCCCAGACUCCUACGGGAGGCAGCAGUGGGGAAUAUUGGACAAUGGGCGCAAGCCUGAUCCAGCCAUGCCGCGUGGGUGAUGAAGGCCCUAGGGUUGUAAAGCCCUUUCAGCGGGGAAGAUAAUGACGGUACCCGCAGAAGAAGCCCCGGCUAACUUCGUGCCAGCCGCCGCGGUAAUAC